UCCAGCCCUGGCUAAAUCGUCACAAGGAGGCAUUUCUGGAUUCUAGAAUAGACUUUCUAGGAUGGCUGUUGUCUUGGAGCCAGGAAGCUGUGAGGCCCAACAAAACAGACUUAAGCAACUGUAAAGGAAAGGGUAGAAAGCCCGAGACCACGCCGGACAAUAGAGUCUGGCGGUGUCUGUAAACACCGGAUGAGGUGGGCGUGGAGGAGGGAAGGAACAUGACUCAGUAGAGGCCCCUCUGCUCCAACAAAAACUCCGUGCCCAGCUACAGCUGAAGACGCGUUAGCUAUCCCCUCAGGAUGCCAGCGCAAGGGAGGCUUUCCCUUGUGUGGCUUUAUUUUGAGUAUUUCAGUCAUCCUGUUUCGGAUGCCUCCUCUGCCAAGCGCCGUCAUGCUUUGUCUCAUAAAGCCCCGGACAUCCUUGGGACAAGCCUACCAUCUUCAUCAACCCAUGCUACAGACAAGGAAGCUGAGGCUCAGAGGAAUGACGCAAGCUGUUGUGGAGAAGCCCAGGUUCAAACCUCGGCUGGUUUGCUUCCAAAGUCCAUGCUCUCAACCCCCCGGACACAGAUGCCCCAGCAAGGAGGCUCCAGCCAGAGGCCCUAGGUCAUUUCUCCCGCUCUGGCACUGGCCACAGGCUUAUGAGGAAAAUCUCUCCCUUCUGGCUUCCCCAUUUGGAAGACACAAGAAAAACAACUCCCGCAUGUGGCUUUGGACAAAUGGAACGUGAGAGAAAGCAUCCAUGAAGGACUUGUCCGAGGUUGUUUAAAGUAGAAGACUCAAAGUGAGACUGGCAGCUGGCACGAAAAAGCAGUUGCACUGUGUUGGCAACACUGACAGAGCAGUCAUGUCAUGGGAGAAAUGGCCCAGCUAGGACUGCAAAUGUAACGCUUCAUGUUAGAGAGCCAGGGAGAUGGACGUUGCCAAGUACUGUGUCUGCACCUGAGCAGAGGCACCAGGUCCCCUCUGUGAACAGGGAAAGGUUUUGUGCGUGGCUCUUCCAUCCGUCCUGCCUCACCAUCUCCCUCACUUCUUUCCCAGCUGUGCACACACACACACACACGCUCUGCCACCCCCAUCCUGCUCUUGCAGCCAGAAGGGGAAAAUAACUCAGGUCCCGUCAUGCGUUAUAGUUGCCACAGUGCUCCCAGCCUCCUGACAGCCCUGGGUGGGCAGACAGCCAUGGAAGGGCUCUUGAUCCCACUUUCCUGAUGAGUGUGGAGUUGAAAGGGGGGAAACUCUUGCCCAAAGUCACGCAGUGUUGAGGCUCAUUCCAAAUUGGCAAGGCUCCCUUCUCAUGGAGUUGGAGUGAGCCGAACAGGGGUUAUGCUCAGAGCAGGGGGUGGGUGGGCAAUGCAGACGGAGCCUGUUAAGAACAGCACACAAAAUCUUGGAGGAGGGGUUCUCUUCCAAAUGUUGGGUCCUACCCAGUGUCCUGUGCUACAUCACCAGUCCCAGAACCCGUUUCCUCUCGGUGGUGGGACGGGAGGGAAGGGAAGCAGCUGGGUUAUUCUAGACACUAGACACACAGCCUACUCUCUGCACAGCCAUGAGACCUCACCCUCUGAAGUUCUCUAAAACACCAUUGGCCAAGGCGGCCAGCGUCCACCCUGCAAAACCAAGGGGGUGCAGCAGUCACUGAAGCAAGGUCAGAGCACAGGAUCAAACCCCAGCAUUCAGAACUUAUCAGCUGUGAUCCUUCGCCAACCGAACCAAGAUGUAGCAUGCCCAUGGAAAUAUAAACGUUCUUCAUAUAAAUGACCAGUAUUAGAUGAAAA